rnacentral:lncRNA from 1 species
CCAUAUGCUAUAAGGUAAAUGCUCAUUACAUUCACUACAAUAGAAUUAGGUUAUAGGGACACAUGUAUGGGACACUUUUGAGUAAGUGUCCUAUUUAUCCUAAAACUUAGAAAAAUAUCUGCUAAUGUCUAAAUAUAAAGUCCAAUCCAACCAAAAAUAAAAGAUUACUCUACUUAACCCACCACACCUAGUCCAUUUGGCCCGAUUACAAACAGAAAAGAAAAAAAAAAGAAAAAUUAAUUACCAUCUUUUCUUCUUUCUUCACUCAAUCUACUGAAAUUCUAGACGAAGAGCCUUUCCUGUCGUCCUCCUCCGCCACCGCAGCCAACGAGAUAGAGUUUCGGCGGUUGCUAAAUGCUUAAAUAAGUGUUGGUAAAUUAGCAGCACUCUUUUAGGUUAUAGCGACACUCUUUAACUGUCACUAUAUACCUAGCGACCCCACAUAUAGCAACACUUUUUAAAAAUGUCGGUAAUUUUAGCUAGCAGCACUUUUUUGACAUGUACCUACAUUUAAAAGUGUCGCUAUAGACCGUUUUUGUUGUAGUGAUUAGACCCGUGCACUUAUUCACAAAUCAUAGUAUGAAAAACCCGUGAUGCACUGCAGGACAAGAAAGUAAAGACUAACCGACCGUUCCUACAGCAAGUGGUAAAGGAUUUGAUGGUUGGUACCCGAUGUCCCAAAUUCGAAGUCUAGUUGAUUCACAUUUUCAGCUAAGUUUAUUUCUAAAUAAAAUAAAACAAAACGGAUAGCGUGUUACCUAUCUCUUUCAAAAAAAAAAAGAAAGUAAAGACUAGUAAGUAGAAAAGAAACAGGUAAAAUAGAUGAGAAAAAAAAAGAGAGUGAAAUUAUUAGCCUAUUAAAAAUUAUUAUGUACAUUAUGAU